rnacentral:rRNA from 1 species
GAAGAACACCAGUGGCGAAAGCGGCUUGCUAGAUCGUAACUGACGUUGAGGCUCGAAAGUAUGGGUAGCAAACGGGAUUAGAUACCCCGGUAGUCCAUACCGUAAACGAUGGGUGCUAGUUGUUAAGAGGUUUCCGCCUCCUAGUGACGUAGCAAACGCAUUAAGCACCCCGCCUGAGGAGUACGGCCGCAAGGCUAAAACUUAAAGGAAUUGACGGGGACCCGCACAAGCGGUGGAGCAUGUGGUUUAAUUCGAAGAUACGCGAAAAACCUUACCAGGUCUUGACAUACCAAUGAUCGCUUUUGUAAUGAAAGCUUUUCUUCGGAACAUUGGAUACAGGUGGUGCAUGGUCGUCGUCAGCUCGUGUCGUGAGAUGUUGGGUUAAGUCCCGCAA